AAUCAAAGAGAAGGCACAUCCUGGAGGUUUUCUUUUCACGAAGUUUGCCAGUAGUAGCCAGACUCUUUUUGACCUUUUCCCGGAUAGCUUUGGUGGCAGGUUGCAUGAAAGAAGCAAAGAAAGUCCGAAAACAAUGAAACAUCUAAAUAAACUUUUCCCAAACAAAAUUUUGAUCUAGCUUCCACAGGAUGAAGCCCUACUUACAGAUUGGAAGCAGCAGUUGGAAG